rnacentral:lncRNA from 1 species
GGCAUGUAGUAGCAUGGGAAUAGAUGGCUGGUAUCAUAGAUUUCUGAAGGAGGGGGUAAGAUAGUUUUUACUUCAGGUCAGAGAUUCUAAAAUUCCAUCAACCACACAGAACAUGGAAUGUCCUUCCUGCUGUUACUUUGCAUGCUGGUGAUCUAAAUCCCUAGUUUUUUAAGGGUGGAGAGGUUAGCCUAUUUUCUCUAGCUUUCUAUAAAAUGCCAAGUAAUUUCCAGCUCAGUCUACUCAGUGGGAGCUAGCUCAGUGAACGAGCUGGUCUAUGAAAAGUGCCCAGGCUGGAGCCUGCCAGUCAGUCACAGUUACAUGCAAGUUGUGAUUGCUGAGCACAGUGUGAGAUGGAAACAAUAUUUAAUCUGAUAACAUUUGUUUUUCAGGUUGCUAAAAAUCAGCCAAGGGGCCAGGAUCACAUACAUAAAUAACUACAGUGGGGCAAAAUGGGAUUAUAGUGAUACCAGAAAUGUGAAAAAACCUGUGAUGGCAGAGGGGUUGCAUUUGUUAGAGGGACUAAGGAAAGAUCUAAACAGAAGUAUUGACCUUUUCAGUUAAGGCAGCUUUUUCUGAUGUGUGGGAUCAGGUGGAUCAGUGAUGGGAGCUGAUUUCAGGUAGCACUCUGACAUGGCCUGAAACAACUUUGAAUUCCAUAGUGAAAAAAAUGAUUCUCUUCUCCAGCUAGUCUGCUCUCCUCAGAGAGCAGCUCUUGACUUAGUACUGGUAGGGACAGCUCUCCAACAUAUGCUCAUCUGUCUUUUCUGCAAAGUGAGUGUAGACCUGAAGCUCAGAAUAUGGAGCAUCUACUUUGGAUUUGUGUAGCUUUUC